rnacentral:rRNA from 1 species
AGUCUGGUGCCAGCAGCCGCGGUAAUUCCAGCUCUCAAAGUGUAUGUCAUUAUUGCUGCGGUUAAAAAGCUCGUAGUUGGAUCUGAGCCCGUGGAUACAGUUCACCUCUGUGUGAUACUGUCAUCCUGGGUUAAUUUCGUCGGUCUUCCGGCGAGAGUUACUCUGAACAAAUCGGAGUGCUCAAAACAAGCGUUUCGCUUGAACGUUUUUGCAUGGAAUAAUGGAAAAGGACUUCGGUUCCUUACUGUUGGUUUCGGAAUUGGAUUAAUGAUUAAGAGGGACCAACGGGGGCAUACGUAUCGCUGCGCGAGAGGUGAAAUUCAUGGACCGCAGCGAGACGACCUACAGCGAAAGCAUUUGCCAAGAAUGUCUUCAUUAAUCAAGAACGAAAGUCAGAGGUUCGAAGGCGAUUAGAUACCGCCGUAGUUCUGACCGUAAACGAUACCAUCUAGCGAUCCGAUGGCGGUAUUACCGCCUCGUCGGGGAGCUUCCCGGAAACGAAAGACUUCCGGUUCCGGGGGUAGUAUGGUUGCAAAGCUGAAACUUAAAGGAAUUGACGGAAUCGCACCACCAGGAGUGGAGCCUGCGGCUUAAUUUGACUCAACACGGGAAAACUCACCCGGCCCGGACACUGUAAGGAUUGACAGACUGAGAGCUCUUUCUUGAUUCGGUGGUUGGUGGUGCAUGGCCGUUCUUAGUUGGUGGAGCGAUUUGUCUGGUUUAUUCCGAUAACGAGCGAGACGCAAGCCUACUCAAUACUUCGAGAAUAAUUUUGUUCUCAGAAGUUCUUAGAGGAAUUGGCGGUAUCGAGCCGCACGAAAGUGCGCAAUAACAGGUCUGUGAUGCCCUUAGAUGUUCGGGGCUGCACGCGUGCUACACUGGAGUCUGCAACGUGCUCCAUGGCCGAAGGGUCACUGGUAAACCGUUGAAAAGAUUCCGUGAUCGGGAUAGGGAAUUGCAAUUAUUUCCCUUGAACGAGGAAUUCCUAGUAAGUGUGAGUCAUCAUCUCGCUCUUAAUACGUCCCUGCGAUUUGUACACACCGCCCGUCGCUACCCGGGACUGAACCGUUUCGAGAAAUCCAGGGAAUCGUUCGCGGGACUUGUUCCUUGCGAGUGGUGAACUGGCUUGAUCGCGACGGUUUGAACCGGGUAAAAGUCGUAACAAGGUACCGGUAGGUGAACCUGCCGGUG